rnacentral:rRNA from 2 species
GGACGGGGGAGUAACACGUAGGUAACCUGCCCAGAAGCGGGGGACAACAUUUGGAAACAGAUGCUAAUACCGCAUAACAACGUUGUUCGCAUGAACAACGCUUAAAAGAUGGCUUCUCGCUAUCACUUCUGGAUGGACCUGCGGUGCAUUAGCUUGUUGGUGGGGUAAUGGCCUACCAAGGGGAUGAUGCAUAGCCGAGUUGAGAGACUGAUCGGCCACAAUGGGACUGAGACACGGCCCAUACUCCUACGGGAGGCAGCAGUAGGGAAUCUUCCACAAUGGGCGCAAGCCUGAUGGAGCAACACCGCGUGAGUGAAGAAGGGUUUCGGCUCGUAAAGCUCUGUUGUUAAAGAAGAACACGUAUGAGAGUAACUGUUCAUACGUUGACGGUAUUUAACCAGAAAGUCACGGCUAACUACGUGCCAGCAGCCGCGGUAAUACGUAGGUGGCAAGCGUUAUCCGGAUUUAUUGGGCGUAAAGAGAGUGCAGGCGGUUUUCUAAGUCUGAUGUGAAAGCCUUCGGCUUAACCGGAGAAGUGCAUCGGAAACUGGAUAACUUGAGUGCAGAAGAGGGUAGUGGAACUCCAUGUGUAGCGGUGGAAUGCGUAGAUAUAUGGAAGAACACCAGUGGCGAAGGCGGCUACCUGGUCUGCAACUGACGCUGAGACUCGAAAGCAUGGGUAGCGAACAGGAUUAGAUACCCUGGUAGUCCAUGCCGUAAACGAUGAGUGCUAGGUGUUGGAGGGUUUCCGCCCUUCAGUGCCGGAGCUAACGCAUUAAGCACUCCGCCUGGGGAGUACGACCGCAAGGUUGAAACUCAAAGGAAUUGACGGGGGCCCGCACAAGCGGUGGAGCAUGUGGUUUAAUUCGAAGCUACGCGAAGAACC